rnacentral:lncRNA from 1 species
UUGUAUGCACAUUUCUCCCCCUGUCUGGACACACAAACAGGUGGCAAGGCCUUGGGGACGUAAGUCCUUCCCGUUGAUCUAGCAGGUGCAGCCUCCCUCGCCCCGUUAAGCCCACUUGCUGCUGAAGAGUUCUGCUCAAAGCCCCCCAAUUAAUUCUAAGGAGGCUUAAUUAUACGUGUAAGGCACAGACCUAAUUAUAUGUAUAUAGACUGAGAGACAGAAGAGACACUUAUGUGAUUAGCAUAGACUGAUUUUCACGAUCUCUAGGGAGGAAAACAGCGCUAGGAAGAUGUAAUUAGAAAACAUUUAGAAACUAGGCAUUUGACAGUAUCCUAACCAAACAAUCAGCCCUUUUCUGAACCUGCCCAGCUUGGAGAGUUACGGUUUGGAUCGAGAAUGUCUCCCCAAAGCCUCAUGCACCCUGGGGUGGAGCUCUUAAAAGGUCUGAAACCUUUUGUGGGAGAGCUCACUGAGAAAUCACUUAGGUGUCUUAAUAGCAUUGGAGUCUUCACCGUACAGACACAGUCCAUCGCUGGUGGGCAGCUGAGUCUGAUCUACGCUUGAAAAGAGACCCCAACCUCUCCUUCCACUCCAAGAUGGAAAUUCUGAAACCCCUGAAAGGUGUACCACUGUAUUCCCAUAACUGAAACCUAGCAAUGAAGAAUCAUAUUCAUCAGCAAUCAUGACACUGACCUGUUUAUCAAGCAACUGUUCUGCCUGAAAAUCUAAUACCUGAGGACAGGUCUCAUUUCUCCCACACGGUGCCUCAGUUUCCCAAAGGUAAAAUAAAAUUUUGGCUGAGAUGGACUCCAAACAUGACUGUUGUCAGUCUCCGGGCUUGGGGAGCCCAGAGCUUCGCUGCGCUAUUCCCCCAGGUCUGAUCAUCUAGAACUGGGUUGGUUUUUGUUUUUGUGUUUGUUCUGUGGUGCUGGAGAUGGAACCCAGGGCUUUGCUCUCGCUAGGCGAGUGCUCUACCACUGAGCUGCCCCCC